GGGAUAGAAGGCAAAGGAUUGAAUGAACAUAACCCUCGCUUUCUUUGCCUGUAUUUAUAGGGAGAUUGGCGCUAACCCAAUGACGACCAGGGUGCGGACUGGCAUCAGCCAAUCAGAGAGAGAGGAGGGGAUACCCAGUGGCCAGGAGGAGUCGAGCAAUGCAACAUUCAAGCAAACCCUUUCACGAUGACGUUAUCGAAAAUGUAUAUCAAGAGUUUGGAUGUGAGGCACUGUUAAGCAGUGCUUUACACAUAUAGUUAAUAGCGCCCUUCUAACAGAUGACGACUGCAGAGUUGGAUUUUAACAAAGAACUGCAUUUAAGUCUGUUGAACCGUGUUUCAUUUUGGCCUUUUGCUUUGCAGGGAUACAAAACUUUUGGCUAUUAAUCAUCGUCCUUACAUUUUGGGCUUAAUAUCCUGGUAAUAAUUAUUCUGUCUAACUCGCGUCAUCUCUUUCCACCUGAUUUUAUAACGAGCUGUGCUGUCAAAUGAAAUGAUUGUUUUAGAAUGUUUUCCCUUAGACCUAAUAGCUUUUUUAUUCAGAUCAAUCAAGGAACAUCUAUUGUGUGCGUUUGAGUAACACUGAAUAACUAUUUCAGGCAAUUACUUUUUAAUAAUAAACCUGUGGAUUUUUAUUUUCCAACUGAGCCAUGCGUGUAAAUAUACUGCGUUAUCAUUUUCAGCCACUAAGCGGUGCUGUAGCAAAGGAUCUAGAUAUUUCAUUGCGCUACAGCGCCAAAUUUUUACCGUGGUUGAAUGUCGGUCAGUAAGGCAAAUGGGCGGGUGCUUAGUCAGCCGUUGACGUGAACAGAUCUCCCAGCUCAUCGUCGUCGCAUCCCAUUGGUCACACCCCCUCAACGCUUGAAUGCCAUUCGUUGAGCUUUGUUACUGGGUGGUAUGGCAAGACCAGCGAGGCUGGAGGAGGCUGCUCUUCACCGAACAAUAAGGAUUUAGAGGUUUUCAGUUUUUAAUCGGUGAAUAUCUUUUGCCGAUUUUAUUUAUGUAUUGUAUUUAUCUUAAAACGCAAGUCUAUUGUAUUACUAUCGUUUUCUUCUGAUUAAAUACAUGUGUUAUUGUCUUGGUUAUAUUGUGGCUCUCAAAUCCUAAAUCUUCGAUUCAGAUACAUUUAUAUUCAAAACAAUUUCUAGAUGUAAUUUCUCUUGUUAAGCACUUACCAUUGCUGUUUUGCAUGAAAAGCCCUCGAUAAAAUUUUAUUGAUGAGGACAUUGAUAUGUUUAGUGAAAAAGAGUUACUCAACAACAUGACAGAUUUAGUGGUGCAUUUUAUUACAAAAGCCAUAUUCUUAAACAUUGCUUACAGGCAAGUAUUCAGAAAUGGGAUUAUUUUGAUAAAAGAUGUUAUUAAGAAUAACAUUUAAUAUGAGGUAUUUUCUUACUGGCGACACUAUAGGCCAAAUUAAACUAUCAAAAACAGCACUUUUAACAAAAGUUUAUUAAAUAAUAUUGUAUAAAGCAAGAUGGUAGGUAGUAUCACAGUGAGGAAUACUGUCCACUGAUAUUUUUAAAAUAUCAAUAAAAUAAUUAAUGUACUAUCAAUAAAUGCAGAAUGGAAUACACAUAACAUUCAUAUAGAUAUCAAUACAUGUACAUUAUUUACAAUAGCAAAAAAAGAAAAACAUUUGGCUAAUAAAAGCACAAUACAGAGGCUUUGGCAAAAACAAGAGUGCAUACAUUUGCUAAACAUGACAUAAACAUUGAGUAAACAUGAUUACCUGUAUGUAAAGAGUACAAAACAAGCAUAAUACAAAAAAAUCCAGUGCAAUGUCAGUUUUGUCUGUGAAUUGUCCAUGACUCAUAGCAGCCUGGUCUGUAUGUGUCCUUGUUCUCCAUGUGGUUGGUGAGAAAAAAAAUGUCCUGAGCAAGCUAAACUGCCUUCCCGCUGUUCCAACAUCUUUUCCCAUUCCUGAUCCUUCAACUGCCAGUUGUGAUAUCAGUUAU